ACACAGUGAUGAAUGAAUUUCUUCACCUGAAUAACUCAUGUGGAUUAUUUUUGAGCUUUUUAACUCUGAGUGUU